rnacentral:rRNA from 1 species
AUUGAACGCUGGCGGCAUGCCUUACACAUGCAAGUCGAACGGCAGCACGGGAGCAAUCCUGGUGGCGAGUGGUGAACGGGUGAGUAAUAUAUCGGAACGUGCCCAGUCGUGGGGGAUAACGCAGCGAAAGCUGUGCUAAUACCGCAUACGAUCUACGGAUGGAAGCGGGGGAUCGCAAGACCUCGCGCGAUUGGAGCGGCCGAUAUCAGAUUAGCUAGUUGGUGAGGUAAAGGCUCACCAAGGCGACGAUCCGUAGCUGGUCUGAGAGGACGACCAGCCACACUGGAACUGAGACACGGUCCAGACUCCUACGGGAGGCAGCAGUGGGGAAUUUUGGACAAUGGGCGCAAGCCUGAUCCAGCAAUGCCGCGUGCAGGAUGAAGGCCUUCGGGUUGUAAACUGCUUUUGUACGGAACGAAACGGUGAGCUCUAAUACAGUUUGCUAAUGACGGUACCGUAAGAAUAAGCACCGGCUAACUACGUGCCAGCAGCCGCCGUAAGAC